rnacentral:rRNA from 1 species
UACGUAGGGGGCAAGCGUUGUCCGGAAUUAUUGGGCGUAAAGAGCGCGUAGGCGGUCCGAUAAGUCGGCUGUGAAAGUCCAGGGCUCAACCCUGGAAAGCCGGCCGAUACUGUCGGACUAGAGUUCGGAAGAGGCGAGUGGAAUUCCCGGUGUAGCGGUGAAAUGCGCAGAUAUCGGGAGGAACACCAAUUGCGAAGGCAGCUCGCUGGGACGAUACUGACGCUGAGACGCGAAAGCGUGGGAGCGAACGAG